GCCCUCGACCCCUCCCCCCUCCCCCCACCCUCUGCCAAUGGAAGAGCGCCUAUCUACUUAAAGCAACAUGGCAGAGAGUCUAACCACAAUGACUGACUUCUAAUGAACGUCACGCUCUUGUUAGUACUGAAUUACAAUGGACUUCACCACUAGAAAAGAAAAUUGAACUCAACAGUUGAUUCAGCCAUUAAUAACCAAUUGUAGGCAAUCAAUAACAAAAGUGACCGAAACGAUUGGCAGAUCAGUCAGGUUGCAUUGCAAAGUAAUUGGCAUGCAAUUUUCCUGCUUUUAACGAAAUUUUCCUCUUCCAAACUUUUCCGCUUCAGUUGCUGGAUUUGUAAACUUUAAAUUUUUUCUUCAAGUCUCCUUUUUUCGAGCCACAUAUCCUUUCCCAACAUAAGUUUUCGAUAGGAUUUCAAGAAGAACUUGAAAUCAUUCCUUCUGCCAGCUGUAACCUUGACAUAAAGUCAUUAAUGAACAAAUCUCCAGUUGUUAUUACUUGGCAUGGAGCUAAACUAAUAACUAGAUCUGGCUAUAAACAGGUAAAAUAAACACGUUAUUAUGUUGAUAACACGAUCCAGCCCGGACAAGUCAGAAAGAUCUUUCACGAUUAUUAAAGUUUGACCUGGGGGUGUGUUGAGGUUAGUUGAGUUUUCCUCUUGUACAGGGCAGUCGCUGCUUCUACCAAUUCAGCUCGGCUGGCAGUAAAAUAGCUCUGAGUAGCUUAUUGCCCGCCACACCCUGGUUUUCUCUCGUCCAUAAAUGCAAAAAGAGAUGAGUUCGUUGCAAGAGAAACGUAAGUUGUCACGCAAAGUGUAAUGCGUGAGUGUAAGAGAGAGUAGAGGCAAGUUCUUCCAUACUCGAUCAAUACUGGUCGACAUUGCUGAAGAGAUCUGUUUGUCACUAAGCCAGCUUGACUAACCUCUUUCUUGGGCUCUGCGGCCUUUUGCAACAACCAAGAUAUUGUGGAAAGAAAUGGGUAAGACUCUCCAAUUAAGGCCUUCACGUGACUUGCCAACAAGCGUCACCAUGGCAACAAGUGUUCUACUCAGGUCUUAUUACAACCACUCAAGUUUAUCUGAUAGCAUGGCCCGGGACGCUCGCGAUUCGAACAGAUCCUUUAAAACAUACACGAUACCUCGCAAAGAAAGGAGGCCUUCGGAAGGUAAACAAUUAAUUGUUUAGUUUGACGUUGGAAAAGCCUAUUAAUUAUAAAUCUUCAAUGGGGUAGGUCCAUUAAGUUGACAACGGUGUAAAAUUUAGUUCUCCCCCGAACUGGCUCUUCCGUUCUGCAGCACAAAUCCUUAAUAACAUGAAGGCUAUGAUUUUCGCGAGAUGAAAUAAUACAUUGUAAACUAUUUUAACUUCCAAGCUCAAUAUUGCUAGUCUUGUAUGCUUUUGUUAUAAUGAAAUAUAUAUAUAUAUAUUUUAUUUUUAUCAAUUGUUUUUAAAUCGUAGUGCAUAUUCGUAAAAUUUCAAAUAAUUUGAAUCUUUCCUGGUAAUUAACGAAAAUAAAUGUUUCACUCUUGGCCGGUUUUAACAAAAUGAAUUUUCAUGCCUGGACGGGUAAAUCUUAUCAAACCAUGAAUUUGUAUUGUUUUGUUAUUUUAAACUUCUUUUGUGGAAGAUUCGUGUAUAUAACCUCUUCACCGUCAAACAAAAAUUUUUUUUUUUUCGUUACUUACGAAUUAAGAACGAUUGUAUUUAAUACAUUGUGUAUCAUGUCUGAAACUGAAAUGAUGUGGAAAAUAUUGUCCUUAAUGUUUACUACUCAAGAUUAAAACUGUAUUUUAAAAUUGUAGGAAAAAUCUCGAACGUUUUUAACUCUGAAUGACCUGGUCAAGAAAAAAAUCAAUAGUUUCUUGCCUUUAAGCGGAUAUUUAUGUCAAAUUUAUCUUCCUUUAAAGGGGGAAAAUUGUGAUUUAUAUUAAAAUUUGCUAGAUGUUGCCUAGAAGGCUCUGUUGAUGGUGAUUAUCUCCAAUCAGAAGACGACACAAGCAGUCUUCUUACUUCUCCAUACUUUGCAGCUUGUUUCAACUGGCAGACGUCAAGCAAGCUGUUUAUUAUAACUCUGACGUGAACUAGUGCAUUAAAAUAGACGCCUUUUCGCUUUGUCCUGCCGAACCACAACGGACAGAAUUAAGUCCUCGCUACUUUCUCAUAAUAUACAACGCCAUUCCAAAAAACGGUUUUCUGUUUCCUAUAUUGCCCGACAGACCAAUUUCAAUUUUGAAGCAAAGAGAGGAGAAGAAAACUAUAAAUGAAUAAACCAUUCUUCUCCCUGUUCUGGUGUGUUUCUAAGGCCCCGUCCAGACUAGCCGAAGAAAUUUGGAAACGCAUCUUUAUUUAUACGAUUAGCACCUACCGUCCACACAAGUCCGUCACGCAAACGGAGCGUUUCGAAAGCGCUCUUCAAACUGGAGGAAUGUUAAAACGUUGGCUUUUGGUUUUAGUGUGGACAGAAAAACAUUUUGAAAAUGGAGCUUUUCGAAAACGCUCUUCAAACCGGAGGAAUGUUAAAACGUUGGCUUUUGGUUUUAGUGUGGACAGAAAAACAUUUUGAAAAUGGAGCUUUUCGAAAACGAUGAC
rnacentral:lncRNA from 1 species